GGUCGAGUAGGUGAGGCGGGACCUGGAGUUCAUUGAAGGCCUCGGCAAACAUCACACUGACUGAGCUGCCAGUGUCCACCAGGAUACGCCCAACGUCAAAGUUAGAAAUGUCAGCCCGGAUAAUGAGUGGGUCGUCAUGGGGGAGGAUAACACCGCGCUCCUCCUCCUCGCUGAAGGUAAUGGGGGCCCAGCCAGAUCUGUGUGUCUUCGGCAAGCGUCCAUGCUCGGUGCUGAAGACCUGGCGCGCAUAGGUGGAGCGGACAUAGUGUUUGAUGGAGUUGUUGGAGGUGCCAGCCAGGGUAGGGCCUCCGUUGAUCGUGGAGAUCAUGUUGAUUUGUCUUUGGUGAGGGUUAGGCGGGGCUGGUAUGUUGUGGACAUAGUUGUCUAGCUUUCCCUCCCGGAUGAGCCCUUCAAUUAUGUUGCGUAAUGCAACACAAGACUCAGUGUCAUGGCCGCUGAAUUGGUGAAAACGGCAGAAGACCCCAGUGUUUGGCAUAGGCUUGUUGGAUGGUCGCCGAGGGGGUGGCUU
rnacentral:lncRNA from 1 species